UACAGGGGGGGCAAGCGUUGUUCGGAAUUACUGGGCGUAAAGGGCCAGUAGGCGGCCAACUAAGUCACACGUGAAAUCCCCAGGCUUAACCUGGGAACUGCGUGUGAUACUGGAUGGCUUGAAUCCGGGAGAGGGAUGCAGAAUUCCAGGUGUAGCGGUGAAAUGCGUAGAUAUCUGGAGGAAUACCGGUGGCGAAGGCGGCAUCCUGGACCGACAUUGACGCUGAACGGCGAAAGCUAGGGGAGCAAACGGG
rnacentral:rRNA from 1 species